GCGGGGCAUGAAACCCUAACACUUGAGCAAAAUGUAUAACAAAAAUAACAAAGAACCUUCACUCUCUCGGCAGCACCUCUCUCUCUCCCUCAACAGAGACCCAAAACGAAAACCUCACUCUCCCAAACCCUCACUCUUCGCUGGCGCCUCACCUUAAAACCAAAACCAGGCUCUCUAAUCGAUUGAUGCGCUAAACCCAAAAUGAGUCAUCCUCUGAUGUCCCUUCCAAAUCCCCAUUACACUGCUGAAUUCGAAAUCCCCAAUUUUCUAGGGUUUCAAUUUUUAAUCUCAAGAGGAAAAUGUUGAAGCGAAAGGCAUCAUGGAAGAGAAUGUUCCCCCUCACCAUCUCCGGUACCUGCCUCUCAAGGCCAUCACCGCCAAUAAUCCAAGUGUCGUCAUCUUCUUCAUCGAUCUGAGGGCUUGUCCAACAACCGCUACUAUGGCGGCAACGAGUACAUCGCCAUGUUCCAGUCCCAUGACCGAAUCAUGGGCUCCCCUCUGUUGGUCACUUGACCUAUGGUUACUACACCUCCGGCGAGAAGAAGAUCUCAGCCAACUCUCUCUCUCUCUUCCCCUAGUCUGAAAUCCAAGCUAGCUAUCACCGUCAGCCAGCCCUCUUCUGCUUCGCUUCAAUUCAAUUAUCUCAGCAGUUGACCGUGCUUUUGAUGUCUUAGAAGAAAUGAAGGCAGAUACGACACAACCUAUAGAACCUGAUCACACAACUAGGAUAAUGAAGAUGAGCUCGACAAGAUCACACAACUGGCCUAUAGCACUUUAUCUUCUUCUUCAACUAAUCUGGGCUCUGUGGAGGGAAAAUACCUGAUUUUAUUGGAAACUGGACCAAACUUGACAGACUAUCAGUAUUCCCAUCAGUAUGUUCAUCUUCCAUCUUUACACUCCUUUUGGAAAAGCUACUAAAAGUAUAAAUACAGCAACUGACUUCUUGAGUUGCAGAACUCUCUUCAGAAUCUGCUAUUUAUAUUGCAAUGGCAACAAGCAAGGGAUGUGAAGGAGACCUAGGUGUAGUAAACAAUGUAGAGACGGUGAUGCAGCGAGAAAGCACCUACAGAAGCUUCCAAAGCUAGACUCCAAUGAGGCCAUGAGAGCAGCAAAUUAGCUAGACUCCUUAAGUAAAUUUCUCGUUGUAUAUUGCUAGGAGAGUAGUAUUAGAUGUACUCCAUUUGUAGAUGAAAGAUUACCUUUGCACAAUCUAUUUUGGAGCAUGAUUUGGAUCAUAACAUUUUUU